rnacentral:rRNA from 1 species
AACGAACGCUGGCGGCAGGCUUAACACAUGCAAGUCGAGCGCCCCGCCAGGGGAGCGGCAGACGGGUGAGUAACGCGUGGGAACUUACCUUUUGGUUCGGAACAACUCCGGGAAACUGGAGCUACUACCGGAUAAGCCCUAACGGGGAAAGAUUUAUCGCCGAACGAUCGGCCCGCGUCUGAUUAGCUAGUUGGUGAGGUAACGGCUCACCAAGGCGACGAUCAGUAGCUGGUCUGAGAGGAGGAUCAGCCACACUGGGACUGAGACACGGCCCAGACUCCUACGGGAGGCAGCAGUGGGGAAUAUUGGACAAUGGGCGCAAGCCUGAUCCAGCCAUGCCGGGUGAGUGAUGAAGGCCUUAGGGUUGUAAAGCUCUUUUGUCCGGGAAGAUAAUGACUGUACCGGAAGAAUAAGCCCCGGCUAACUUCGUG